GGCGACGACGACGCCUACUGUUGAAACAAGGAAUAAUUCACGGCAGAUGCUCAACCGCCAAUUAUAUGUGACUGGAAGUUUAUAAAUCGUGCACGUGUGAUGUGCGCUCACAUACGCAGAUGGUUAAUAGGCCCGAAAAGGUUUUCUGUCGAACGGGAAAAAAAAGUCGUAAAAUGAAACACUUGUCGAAUGAAUAUCCCGUGUACCGGUUCUUUUUUAAAAAAUACCAAUUUUAAUUGAUAUGACAUUUUUCGAGUUUUAAAUAAAUAACGGCUGACCUGAAAGUGUGUCUUUUAUGGUUUUGCUUAACAGGUUUAAAGAUUUCAAAAGUUCCUGAGUAAUUUUUUUCUAUUUAUCUUUCUAUCCAAUCACGCACUUUAAGGUUCCCUUGUCCGGAGAAAUCCGGAUGGGCUGGAUAAUUGUUGAGAUGGGCUCGUUGAUGAUGGGUGGGCGCAUGGGCCAAAAGAAGAAAGAACCAGACGGAUCGGCGGAUUAAAAGUCGAAAAAGGCUUUGUAUUAUUUUUUAAAUUUUUUCUCUCUCUCUCUCUCUCACGAUUUUGACGAAAUUCGAUGAUGAAUUACAGCCGAGCAUCAAAAUUACCGCUUAGCUUUUAAGUUUCGAAAGAUCGUGACUCUGUUACCACAGUGGAGCCAUAGUGUAGACGCCCAUCAAGAUUGAGGUUAUGCCUCUAUAGUAGGUAUUGUUUUUUGUAUCUGUUCAAAUUUCAAGGUGGUGUGUGUGCAACGUACGAUGACUGGGUCGCACCUUUCGUGCUAUUUUCCAAUGGCCGGGAUAUCCAAUUCCAUCGACGUCAUGACAUCCAGCCGGAGUUGAUUCACGAGGGGUAGCCGCGCCAAUUAAGUGGGGGUUGAUUUUUUUGGAAAGUACUUGGAAAAGUGACGUUUCAAUCAAUUUAUUAUGACUCACAUAAGUCUCAUUUAAUUUGGAGUGAUUGAUCGGCUGGAGGAGAAAGUAUUCACCUGUGUGUUGGGCCCGGGGUAACGCGUGACUGGGCUGCCUAAUGAAUCAGAGGAGAGAAGAAAUGAAAAGAAAAUAACGUAAAACUGUCGAAAUAUUCUUAUCCAAGUGAACACACAUGAUAAGGCUAAUAGAUUUGAGCAUAUUGACUGGUUUGAUCCUAUCCUCGGGCAGUUAUUCUUGCGUAACGUAUUGACGUUUGGAACAGAUAAGAUCGACGGAGAUGAAUGAUAAGGAGCAGCUUUGUGCAACUGUGGUGUGAUACAAGUUUGGAUUUAGUUUGACGGUGGUGCCGACUGAGAUGAUGUUUAUUCAAAUCAAGAUGGUUCAGUUGAAACGCUACAAAUUCAUUUUAUAGGAUUGGCGUUGUUUGCGGUGCUGCUCGUCUACUCGCAACUUCCAAGGCGAUUCUUCUCAGUUGGCGGAAUAUUACGAGGACCCUUCAAACUGCCGCCAAAGUCAAACGCGACGAUCGAACGCUACGAACUGGUGCACAAAUACGAGCAGGAGAGACUACCUGAUGUGGCUUUCAAACGGAUACUCUUCUGGAAUGACUAUUUCGGGAUUCCUGAUUAUCAAGUUGGACUCGGCCGUGAUGCCCUGCGCAAAUGGGAUUGCCCGGUAUGGCAGUGCGAAAUUUCCAACGAUCGCACCAAUGUCCAGGACUACGACGCUGUCGUCUUUCACUUUCGCAGCUGGUCUCAAAGAGAUUUGCCACAACGUCGGUCACCUCACCAGCGCUACAUUUUCUGGGCUAUGGAGUCUGCUGCCUGGACGGAAUACAUGGACACAAGUCCGAUGGCCAAUUUCUUCAACUGGACCGUGACUUACCGAUGGGACUCUGACAUGGUUAGGCCUUACGGCUAUGUCAAACCGAUUGGAAAUGUACCACUUCAUCCAAGUGAGAGUCAAAUGAAAGAGUAUUUGCCCAGUUGGAAAGUGAAUUACGCCGAUGGCAAGACGAAAAUGGCCGCUUGGUUCGUUACCAACUGCCACUCGAAAAGCAGUCGAAACGAAAUGGUCCAGGAACUGCAAAAGUACGUGCAAGUGGACGUCUAUGGCGGCUGUGGAACCUUGUCGUGUCCAAAGAAACCGGGAGAAGAUGCUUCGAGUGAAGAGUGUCUGGCCAUGGCGGCGAAAAACUACAAGUUUUACAUGGCGCUGGAGAAUUCGCUGUGUCUCGACUACAUCACUGAAAAGUUUUUUGGGAUUCUUCAUCGCCCGAUAGUCCCGAUUGUUUACGGCGUUCACGACCACUACGAUCAAAUUGCACCGACGCAUUCCUUCAUCAACGCGGCAAAAUUUGAAUCUAUGAAACAACUGGCCGAUUACCUGAUUCUACUCGACAAGAACGACACGCUGUACAACGAAUAUUUCUGGUGGAAACCUCAUUUUGAGGUGCGCUACACUCAAAAGGACAUCAACGUUGGCGCGUGUCAUUUGUGCGCCGCUCUCCACAACACGACACUUUCGCCGAAAAUCUACGCCAACAUGACCGACUGGUGGGAAACUCAAUCCUACUGCGUGCUGUCGCCUCUGAUCUCCUGACGCUGCCAAUAAAAGGAGAAGUGAAAUUUCGCAAUGACGGGGGGAAGUUGAAAGGAAAAGUGAUCGUCGUCUGGCUGUUGGUAGAAAUUCGGAAGAAGGAAACGGAAGGAGAAACGUCCGUUUUCUACUUCCGCCAAAUCUCGAUAACAUCGAGGUAUGUACACAUCAGGAUAUGUGAGGUGAGUCUGCACACUUUGAUUUUGUUUCCCACCAUUCGGUCAUGUCCCUGUAGAUUUUCGGUGGUAACGUCGUAUUG
rnacentral:misc_RNA from 1 species